GAGCCGGCUAGCAGCAGUCAAGGCAAAGCGGGCAAGGCGGUCCAGUCGCAUUUCGCUGAGACGUCCUUGCCAACCGGCCGGCACAGCUGCUUCACCGCUCCCGUGAGCCCUGCGGAAGCGUUAUGGAACCGUGUGACGGAGCGUUUUCCACGUAAAGGGGCCAUGUGGGUGGCCUUCAGGAACGGGCCGAGGGGUUGCCGCGCGCCCUGUGACGACGGCGUCCAGCUCCCAGUGUGGCCGAAGCGCGCGGCCUCAGGAUGUGGCCGAGCGCAGGAGACCCUGACCGAGAGACGGCAGCCUGGCGAUGGCAGGAACUUCCCAGAUGGCGAGGCGGCCUUCCUUGGCGCUCCAUGUGGAUCCUCCCCGCUGGGCAUCCGAGAGCUGAGUCGGAGGCUGCGAAUUGCAGAGGGGCUGAAAUCGGGGUGCCGGGUUGGGACUCUGGACCUGGGAUUAUGGAGUCAGCUUUGGGGACGGGGAGGUCCAGGCUGUGGCCCCUUAGGCCACGUGAAGGGAGAGCCUCACAUUUGUUCACAGUGCUGAGGUGUGCAGGACGGAGCAGCCCCAGGGCGUGUCGUAUCACUUGUCCGUCGUGCCUUGUGUGUCUUUUGUGCUUCUUGUGUUGUACGUGCCUCGCCUUAUCUCUUCUGGGGGCUUACCAGAAACCCCGGUGUCACUCGUAGCAUCUCUGAUCUCUGGGCUCCUCAGCCCGACACCAUCGAAGCUUUGCCUCUGGAGCUCUCAGAGGCCUUGGAAUCGCGUCUCUCUUUUAAAAGCAUCCGAUCGGAUGUCUUUUAGAGGUCUUGUUCUGAGCUGUGUCGACAGCCGUGCGCCGCGAGGAUCCAUUGCUGCGGCUUAGGUCUUGAAGAAACGCAGAGAUAGGUAGGGGACUGUGGCCCUCAGAUUCUCGGGCAUCCGUCUUGGCAGUUGCUGGAGUUUGUCAUUCCAUUAGCAUCUUCUUCCUCCCGGGUUCUGUGAGCUUCAUCAGCUCGCCUUCAUUCUCACCCGGCUCAUCUCGUUCCGCGUUCUCUCGGUCCUUGUAGCCAUUCUUGUGGCCCAGAGUUUUGUCUCCCCAUUGUGUCCCCUCGUCUGUUGUCUUGUGUGUCACGGGUGUCUGGGUGUAGUUGUCCCGGAGCUGCUCUGUCCUGCUGCCCAGUCUGGGUGUAGAUGUAAAAGGCCAAGUCCCAGGCCCCUGUAAUUUGAAAUUUGUCAUGUAGGGCAUAGUUGGAGUCUAGAGGGUGUUCCUAGAUCCUCACAAGAUGUCUGGAGCUGUGAAGUUAUCCUGCAGCACUUUGACUUUUGUCUUAGCUUUCUAAGCAUUGCAUUAUUUUCUGCCCAAUGUGGGGUUCAAAAGAGUAAGAAAAACCUAUACUGAUUACGUUAUAUUGGUACUUCUGUGUGUUGGGGUAAAGGACUUUGUAAUGGUGUUCCUUAAGUUCACGUCUCUCAGGGUUGAGCCCAUCAUGUAGUUCUAGUCUCUGAGCUUUUUUUCAAGUUUUAGUGCCUUUCUUGUCCCUAAGUUUAUUUUUUUAUCCAAAAAUAACUCAAAUAUUGUCCCUAAUACAUAACUUUUACGAAGUAAAAGGGCACAGAUUAAAAUAGCUGUUAUGCUAAGCUGAGUAAUAAUGAUUGAUAAAAACUUUAUAAAAGUACUGAAGUUUGUACCAAGUAGCUUUAGUUUUUAGUUUCUUUGUCCUCCCCUACAUACCAAUCCCAGUAACAUGUUUUAGAAGUGUAUUAGUAAUUAUACCCAGUUUAUUAGAAGAGCAGC